GGCUCAUGGAAGGGCUGCCGCCCAGCCUGAGGGAGGCUGCUGGAGACGGGAGAGCCUGACCUGGAGGCAGGAGGAAAGAGACCAGAGAGAUUUCUCUAAGCCAUGCAAGCUUUACAAACAGGAUUCUGAGUCUCAUACAAGAUUUAAAAAAAAGAAAAGCCAGGAAGUUCAAGUGUGGCCUGGUGGUGUGAGCCUGUCAUCCUACCACUUGGGAGAAAGAGGCAAGAUGAUCAAGAGUUCAAGGCCAGCCUGGGCUUCAGGAGAUCCUGUCUCAAAUAGCAAGAGUCACAGAAAACUCCCAUCUCCUCUCUGGAUGACCCCAACUAGGCCAAGGAUCUGUUUGCUGGUCUCCUACGGUAGGAAACCGAGACUCCAAAAGCAGAUCUCCCAGGUCCAAGGUCACACUCCUUCUGCGGACCUGAUCUGCUCCUGGCCUCCACCAAUACCAUGCUGGAACCUGACUGUAAGAAGCAAGGACCCCUGGCUCCUCCACGUUGUCCUAAGUCACCCUGGGUUACCUGGUCCAAGAGAUCCCCCUCCCCGAUAAGCUAGCAGCACUCAUCUCCAGGAACAUCUAUCGCUCUGAGCUCUCAUUUGAAGCUUGGGAAGGAGAAUGACCUGUGUACCAAUAAUAUCCUCCACUGUCAAAGUAAACUCGGGAUUUUGUUUGCAAAUAAAUGCUUGCCCCCC